CGUGUUAAAAUUUCAUUAAAAAAUCGAACGAAUAGUUUAACGAAAUAUCUGAGUUAGUCUCAUAGUAUGUACUAAGAGAAUAACUCUGGUAUUUGAAUGUCUAACAACAGAAUGGCUAAAUGGCCGAGUGGUAGCGUUGUCGAUGUGCCACGCAGGAGGACCCGGCUUCGCGUCUCGGGUCUGGCAACUCCUGAAAAGUUUUUUUCGAGGUACUGGGCCCGGCCCGGCCAGGCGAUCCCCGUCCUUCACCAUCCGGCCCCUUCCACGGGUAUAGAUGCAGCCCGUGGUUGGAACUGGCCCGCC
rnacentral:lncRNA from 1 species